rfam:Tupaia chinensis contig15382, whole genome shotgun sequence.
CUAGCAUUCCCAGGUAGGCCAAGGUGUCCUACAGAAAAACCUCGAGUUCGACCUCCAUUGGGCCUGG